GCUUAUGGCUGAGUGGUUAAAGUGUCUAUUUAAUUGAUUACAUAUGCAUGGUCACAGGUUCAAUUCCUGCUGAUGGCA